rnacentral:rRNA from 1 species
GACGAACGCUGGCGGCGUGCUUAACACAUGCAAGUCGAGCGGUAAGGCCCUUUCGGGGGUACGACGAGCGGCGAACGGGUGAGUAACACGUGGGUGACCUGCCCUCAGCUCUGGGAUAAGCCUCGGGAAACCGGGUCUAAUACCGGAUAUGACUCCAUGACGCAUGUUGUGGGGUGGAAAGCCUUGUGCGGCUGAGGAUGGGCCCGCGGCCUAUCAGCUUGUUGGUGGGGUGAGGCCUACCAAGGCGACGACGGGUAGCCGGCCUGAGAGGGCGACCGGCACACUGGGACUGAGACACGGCCCAGACUCCUACGGGAGGCAGCAGUGGGGAAUCUUGCGCAAUGGGCGAAAGCCUGAGCAGCGACGCCGCGUGAGGGAUGA